UAACCUUCUCAGUGAUGAGGAGCUGAACCGGCAGAAGUCAGCCGAAGUCGUAGUAUUUGGUAGCUUAAGAUGCCAAAGAAGGAC
rnacentral:ncRNA from 1 species